rnacentral:rRNA from 1 species
UAACGCGUGGGGACCGACCCUACUACAGGGGGAGGUAACAGCUGGAAACGACUGCUAAUACCGCAUAAGCGCACAGAAUCGCAUGAUUCAGUGUGAAAAGCCCUGGCAGUAUAGGAUGGUCCCGCGUCUGAUUAGCUGGUUGGUGAGGUAACGGCUCACCAAGGCGACGAUCAGUAGCCGGCUUGAGAGAGUGAACGGCCACAUUGGGACUGAGACACGGCCCAA